GUUCCUUGGGGAACAAUGGAUAAAAUUGGAACAAUAAAAAAAAGAUCGGCAUGACCCGUAUGUAAGGAUGACACACAAAUUGAGAAAUGGUCUAAAUUUUA
rfam:Lupinus angustifolius cultivar Tanjil contig_28078, whole genome shotgun sequence.